rnacentral:rRNA from 1 species
GACGAACGCUGGCGGCGUGCUUAACACAUGCAAGUCGAACGGAAAGGCCCUGCUUUUGUGGGGUGCUCGAGUGGCGAACGGGUGAGUAACACGUGAGUAACCUGCCCUUGACUUUGGGAUAACUUCAGGAAACUGGGGCUAAUACCGGAUAGGAGCUCCUGCUGCAUGGUGGGGGUGGGAAAGUUUCGGCGGUUGGGGAUGGACUCCCGGCUUUUCAGCUUGUUGGUGGGGUAGUGGCUUACCAAGGCUUUGACGGGUAGCCGGCCUGAGAGGGUGACCGGCCACAUUGGGACUGAGAUACGGCCCAGACUCCUACGGGAGGCAGCAGUGGGGAAUAUUGCACAAUGGGCGGAAGCCUGAUGCAGCAACGCCGCGUGCGGGAUGACGGCCUUCGGGUUGUAAACCGCUUUCGCCUGUGACGAAGCGUGAGUGACGGUAAUGGGUAAAGAAGCACCGGCUAACUACGUG